AGUGAACGCUGGCGGUAGGCCUAACACAUGCAAGUCGAACGGCAGCACAGUAAGAGCUUGCUCUUACGGGUGGCGAGUGGCGGACGGGUGAGGAAUACAUCGGAAUCUACUUUUUCGUGGGGGAUAACGUAGGGAAACUUACGCUAAUACCGCAUACGACCUACGGGUGAAAGCAGGGGAUCUUCGGACCUUGCGCGAUUGAAUGAGCCGAUGUCGGAUUAGCUAGUUGGCGGGGUAAAGGCCCACCAAGGCGACGAUCCGUAGCUGGUCUGAGAGGAUGAUCAGCCACACUGGAACUGAGACACGGUCCAGACUCCUACGGGAGGCAGCAGUGGGGAAUAUUGGGCAAUGGGCGCAAGCCUGACCCAGCCAUACCGCGUGGGUGAAGAAGGCCUUCGGGUUGUAAAGCCCUUUUGUUGGGAAAGAAAAGCAGCAGGUUAAUACGCCGCUGUUCUGACGGUACCCAAAGAAUAAGCACCGGCUAACUUCGUG
rnacentral:rRNA from 1 species